rnacentral:rRNA from 1 species
UAGAAAUGGACGAAAGUCUGAUCUAGCAACACCGCGUGUGCGAAGAAGGCCUUCGGGUUGUAAAGCACUUUUUGGAAGGAUUAGGAAGGAAUGUACUUCCAGAAUAAGUCUCGGCUAACUACGUGCCAGCAGCCGCGGUAACACGUAGGAGGCAAACGUUAUCCGGAUUUACUGGGCGUAAAGCGCGUGUAGGUGGUUCUGUAAGUAGGGCGUGAAAGCUCCUGGCUCAACUGGGAGAGGCCGUUCUAAACUGCAGAGCUAGAGGAUGGUAGAGGGAGGUGGAAUUCCGGGUGUAGAGGUGGAAUGCGCAGAUAUCCGGAGGAACACCAGUGGCGAAAGCGGCCUCCUGGACCAUUCCUGACACUCAGACGCGAAAGCUAGGGUAGCAAACGG